GAGCAAGGAGUCAAGGUAAGGUGGUCCACGCAGAGACCACGGUGGCUCACGCCGUGCUGAACGGGAAGCAGUAUUACCGUCAGGACUGGGUUCAUGCUGCCGCCCACGUUGUCGUCCCUCCUCUCCGCCUCGACCCCAACACGCCAGGCUACCUCAUGGGCCUGCUGGGAAACGACUCUCUGAGUGUUGUGGCAUCAGAGCACCGUCCAUUUAGCAUCAAGCAGAGGGCUUUGGGCAAAGACGACUUCACAAAGAUCCCUCACGGAGUGGCUGGAGUCCAGGACAGGAUGAGUGUCAUUUGGGAGAGGGGAGUGGUACGUACAAACACACGCACAC